AUUGAACGCUGGCGGCAUGCCUUACACAUGCAAGUCGAACGGCAGCACGGGAGCAAUCCUGGUGGCGAGUGGCGAACGGGUGAGUAAUACAUCGGAACGUGCCCAGUUGUGGGGGAUAGCCCGGCGAAAGCCGGAUUAAUACCGCAUACGACCUAUGGGUGAAAGCGGGGGAUCGCAAGACCUCGCGCUACUGGAGCGGCCGAUGUCGGAUUAGCUUGUUGGGGGGUAAAAGCCUACCAAGGCAACGAUCCGUAGCUGGUCUGAGAGGACGACCAGCCACACUGGGACUGAGACACGGCCCAGACUCCUACGGGAGGCAGCAGUGGGGAAUUUUGGACAAUGGGCGCAAGCCUGAUCCAGCCAUGCCGCGUGC
rnacentral:rRNA from 1 species